rnacentral:rRNA from 1 species
CAUUUAUUAGAACAAAACCAAUUGGCUUCGGCCAUCCAUUGGUGAAUCUGAAUAACUACGCUGAUCGCAUGGUCUCGUACCGGCGACAUAUCCUUCAAGUGUCUGCCUUAUCAACUUUCGAUGGUAGUUUACAUGACUACCAUGGUUGUAACGGGUAACGGAGAAUAAGGGUUCGACUCCGGAGAGGGAGCCUGAGAAACGGCUACCACAUCCAAGGAAGGCAGCAGGCGCGCAAAUUACCCACUCUCAGAACGAGGAGGUAGUGACGAAAAAUAACGAGACAGUUCUCUAUGAGGUCUGUCAUCGGAAUGGGUACAAUCUAAAUCCUUUAACGAGGAUCUAUUGGAGGGCAAGUCUGGUGCCAGCAGCCGCGGUAAUUCCAGCUCCAAUAGCGUAUAUUAAAGUUGUUGCGGUUAAAAAGCUCGUAGUUGGAUCUGCGGUCACAGAUGCCGGUCUUCUUCUCGAAGUACUGGCCAUCUUGACCUACCUCACUGGUUUUCUCUUGGUGCUCUUUACUGAGUGCCCUGAGUGACUAGUACGUUUACUUUGAAAAAAUUAGAGUGCUUAACGCAGGCU